rnacentral:rRNA from 1 species
AAGUCNGAAUCCGCUAAGGAGUGUGUAACAACUCACCUNCCGAAUGAAUUAGCCCUGAAAAUGGAUGGCGCUGAAGCGGGCCGCCGACACCACGCCGUCUGGCCAAUUUGACAAAACAUGUGCUGGAUGAGUAGGAGGGCGUGGCGGUCGUGCGGAAGCCCGCGUGCAGACGCGGGUGGAACGGCCGCUAGUGCAGAUCUUGGUGGUAGUAGCAAGUAUUCAAGCGAGAUCCUUGAAGGGCGAAGCGGGGAAGGGUUCCACGCGAACAUUGAUUGGGCGUGGGUGAGUCGUUCCUAAGCCGAGUGGCAAUUGCUAACUACCGGCGAAAGGGAAGCGGGUUGAAAUUCCCGCACACGGAUGUGGACGCGGUGACGCGUACUUGGGGCGAAUACGCCGGCGACGGCGCUGGGCAGAGUUGUCUUUUCUGUUUGACCCAGUUUUUAUUUACGCGCUGUGUGGAAUCCGCUUGUCGGGAGAAACACGCGCGUCGGGGCAGAGCGCCGGGGCUUUUCCGGCGUCCAGCUCGCCGUCGACGGCCCUUGAAACUUUGCCUGCUGGUAGUAGCACCUUGUCAAAGGGUGUGAAAAUAACUCCACGCCGUGGCGUACCGAUCACCGCAUCAGGUCCCCAAGGUGAACAGCCUCUGCUCUAUAUGAACAAUGCAGGUAAGGGAAGUCGGCAAAUUGGACCCGUAACUUUGGAAUAAGGGUUGGCUCUAGUGCUGCGUGGGAGUGGUUGCUGAGUGUCUCGGCGCCGUGCGUGGGGCUGGCUUGGGCGCGGGGCCUGCCCUGUCCGAGUGCUCUUUUUCUGUGUCUUGGUUGUUCGUCUUGUGCCGGUCGUAUUGGUGUUUGGGGCCGUGCGUGACGCGAGUAUUCGUUUAACGGGUUUUCGUCGAUCAGCAUNCUCUUCCCACUGCUCCCGUCCCUGCGCCCAACCAAGCCAGAACUGCGGGCGCGGACUCUGGGCGGGACCUGUUCCUGCCGCGCCUCCAUCGCGGUUCCGCAUUCGGCGACGCCCACAGCAUGCAGCAGACUAGAACUGCAACGGGCAAANNGAAUCCGACUGNNNAANNAAAACAANNCNUUGCAGGGGCCGUGGCC